GACAGAGGGUGCAAACGUUGUUCGGAAUUACUGGGCGUAAAGCGCGUGUAGGCGGCCCUGCAAGUCGGGUGUGAAAUCCCAUGGCUCAACCAUGGAAGUGCACUCGAAACUGCAGGGCUAGAGUCCUGGAGAGGAAGGUGGAAUGCUUGGUGUAGAGGUGAAAUUCGUAGAUAUCAAGCGGAACACCGGUGGUGAAGGCGGCCUUCUGGACAGUGACUGACGCUGAGACGCGAAAGCGUGGGGAGCAAACAGG
rnacentral:rRNA from 1 species